UUCAAUUUCCCAUAUUUUCUGGUUGGCGGCGGCGGGAAAGCAUUUCUCAGCGGCGAAAUGGCUCAACGGUGCGCCUAAGAAAUCCCGAACACCACCAUCUUUUCCAUGGCCGAGUUCCCCAAAACCCUCUCAUCAAAGCGAGUUCUCAAGCUCCUCAAAUCAGAGAAAAACGUCCAGUCUGCACUUGCUCUCUUUGACUCAGCAACUCGCCACCCGGGUUACACCCACUCACCCGACGUUUUCCACCACAUCCUACGUCGACUAGUCGACUCCAGGCUCGUUUCCCACGUUUCUAGGAUCGUCCAAGUCAUUGAAACCCAGAAAUGUAACUGCCCAGAAGACGUGGCUUUAACGGUGAUAAAAGCCUAUGCCAAAAACUCAAUGCCCGAGAAAGCAUUAGAUUCCUUUCAACGAAUGAAGCAAAUUUUUGGUUGUGAACCUGGGAUUCGAUCUUACAACACUUUACUUAACGCUUUUGCUGAGUCGAAUCGUUGGGAACAAGCUGAGUCGUUUUUUAAGUACUUUGAAACAGUGGGCGUAAAGCCAAAUUUGCAAACAUACAAUAUUUUAAUUAAGAUUGCGUGUAGAAAGGAGCAUUUUGAGAAGGCGAAGCGGUUAUUGGAUUGGAUUUGGAAAAUGGGUUUUCAUCCAAAUGUGCAAAGCUAUGGGACUUUGAUUAAUGGGCAUGUCAAAGGCGGGAAGUUGGUCGUUGCAAUGGAAGUGUUCGAUGAAAUGGUUAACAGAAAAGUGACCCCUGAUGUUAUGUGUUAUAAUCUAUUAAUUGAUGGUUUUUUCAAAAAAAGAGAUUUUGUGAAGGCAAAUGAGGUUUGGGAGAGGUUGUUGGAAGAUUCUUCUGCUUAUCCGAAUUCGGUUACUUAUAAUGUUAUGAUUAAUGGUUUGUGUAAAUGUGGCAAGUUUGAUGAGUGUUUGAGGCUAUGGGAGAGGAUGAAGAAGAAUGAAAGAGAGAAGGAUUUGUUUACUUAUAGUAGUAUGAUACAUGGAUUGUGUGAGGCAGGGAAGGUUGAUGGUGCUGAGAGAGUCUAUAAAGAGAUGGUUGAAAGUGGGGCAUUGGUUGAUGUGGUUACUUAUAAUGCAAUGCUUAGUGGGUAUUGUAAAGCUGGGAAAUUUGACGAGUGUUUUGAGUUGUGGAAGCAGAUGGAAAAGGACGGUUGUAUAAAUGUUGUUAGUUUUGAUAUAUUGAUUAGAGGGUUGUUAGAGAAUCGAAAGGUGGAUGAAGCGAUUUCUACAUGGCGGAUCUUGCCUGAGAGAGGUUGCAAUGCUGAAGCUUCAACUUACGCAGUUUUGAUUCAUGGAUUGUGUAAGAAUGGCUACUUAAAAAAAGCUUUAGAGAUAUUGAAAGAGGCUGAACUUGGGGGAAGUAAAUUGGAUAGCUUUGGAUAUUCCUCAAUAAUUGACGGGUUCUGCAAACAAGGGAAACUAGGUGAAGUAGCUGGUUUAAUCAGUCAGAUGGUUAAGUGUGGUUGUAAACUGAAUCCUUACAUUUGCAAUCCCAUGAUUCAUGGUUUUAUCCAAGCAUCCAGACUAGACGAUGCAGUUCAAUUUUUCAAGGGAAUGGACUCAAUGGGUUACUCUCCUACUGUUGCCUCAUAUAAUAUUCUCAUUUCUGGUUUGUGUAAAGCAGAAAGAUUUCGAGAGGCGUACUGCUUUCUGAAGGAAAUGUUAGAGAAAGGGUGGAAACCUGACAUGAUCACCUACAGCUCGUUGAUGAAAGGUCUUUUCCAAGGAAAGAAUGUUGACAUGGCACUCAGCUUAUGGCACCAUGUGCUUGACAAGGCCUUCAAGCCUGAUGUAAUUAUGCACAAUAUUAUCAUUCAUGGCCUUUGCUCUGUUGGCAAAGUCGAGGAUGCAUUACAGCUCUACUCAAAGAUGCGGCGAAGGAACUGUGCUCCGAAUCUUGUAACCCAUAAUACUAUCAUGGAAGGGCUUUACAAAGCUGGAGAAUAUGAGAAGGCAUCAGAGAUCUGGACCCGAAUUUCAACUGAUGGACUACAGCCAGAUAUUAUUUCUUAUAACAUUACUCUCAAGGGGCUUUGUUCUUGUGGUAACAUACAAGAUGCAGUUGGCUUCUUGGAAGAUGCUUUAGAGCGUGGAAUUCUUCCUACUGUCAUUACAUGGAACAUACUUGUCAGGGCAGUGCUUUAGGAUUUGCUUGCGGUUAAGUUCCUAUUUGUGAAAGUCAUACUCCUCUAGUUGGCGGUUCAAAAUAUUAGGCAACUCUUUGCCACCUCAAGAAUUUUGAAGACCAGUCUUUGAACUACGUAUCUUUAAGAGAGAGAUCCUAAGUUCUGGGAUCAAGAACUGUUAUCUUCAUCAUUCCAAGGAUUCACCAGACGUGCAUGUGAGGAUGGUUUUUGCCAGGAAAAUUCUUUCAAAGUGAUUGGAGGUAUGGAUGCAUGUGCGCCUAAAGGCUGGAUUUAUGCUCUUUAGAGUUUAGAUAUCUUGACAUGAAACCACAGUUACCUAUUUGACCAAAGGUGAACUGAGAAAAUAAAGCAACUAAAAUAGCUCCAAGAACUGCAACUUUUCUCCAAUCAGAUGAAGAGAUGAAAGAGUCUGCAAUUUCAAUGACUAG